AUGGCCCACAACGAUGAGGCCGGGGGUUCGGGCGGCAAGGCAUUCUGGGAGCUGUCCCAGGAGAUGGAGGAACAACCUCACUUGUAUGAGGCCGCCGCCUUCCCCACCGAUCCUGAGACCACGGAUGGUGCCGCCGAGGAUGACCACACUGAUGCCACCACUGAUGGUGCCGCCGAGGAUGCCACCACUGAUGAUGGCGGCGCACGCACAGAUAGCAGCCAGCCGAAGAGGCAACGGAAGGACCGGCGCCCGAUCGUGCUCCGCACCCUCAAGGAGGAAGUUACUGAAGUGGACUCCAACGGGAAUCCAACGGCGCCCGAACGAAUAGUCAUGGGGUACUCGCUUCAGCUCGGGUGCAUUGUCCGGAGCACCGUCUCGAUCAACACCGAGAACCUGAGGCAUCCUGACCGGGGGAAUUUGCGCCACCUCCUCUUCAUGAAGCUGCACGAACGAUACAAGUUCCCCGCUGAAUUCGAAAACACAAGCCUCAAAGGGAAUAAAGUGAACAAUGCUGCCCUCACGAAGAUGAGCAAGGCCCUGUCUACUUGGAAAAGCAAUGUGAAGAGAAUGAUCGAGAAAGGUGAGAGUUAUGAGAAGAUCAAGGAGAAAAAUCCUUCGAUCACCGAAGAUGACUACAACGACUUCAAGAUCAAUUGCUCGAGCACCGCAAGCUCCCAAUCAAGUGAGUGGGGGAAACAAAUGCGGGAGCUGAACAUAGGGGAACACACACUCGGUCCCGGCGGUUACAGAGUGGCGGAGCCUAUAUGGGACAAGGAGGAGGCGGACCGUGCCGAGCAAGGCCUACCGCCCCUCUUCGAUAAAUACGGUGACAAGCAGACCAAGAACUUUGUCAGGGCCCGGUACAAGAAGGACCCGAAAACAAAGGAGCUUACCACGGAUCCGAAGACCAGGCAGCUUGAGCUUGUUCUGGCGACUGAAAGCAGUAGCGCGGGGUCGACUCAGAGCAACCCUUGGGACACCACUCUAAAUAGGAGGUUGAAUAUAAUGAAGAACAAGGAUAAGCUCAGUAAGCCGACGUCAGCUGGUCGUGUGGCCGGCAAAGGCUUGUCGACAAAAUGGGGGUCAUACUAUACCGCUGGUGUGCGGAAGGAGAAAAAGACCAGCUCGGAAAGCCAGGCGCGAGAGGUUCAAGAACUCAAGGCACAGGUGGCGCGGAUUCCGGAGAUUGUCCAAGAGCAAGUGGAACAACGACUCGGAGCGACGAUCACCGCCCUUGUGCCUACCUUGAUCUCGGGGUUGAGUGCGUGGAUUGCGGGCGGCCAACAGGGGCCGCCCCCGAUUCCUAGCUUCACGGCCAGCAACUCGCAUAAUGCGAUGGCGGGGCCAUUGGUGCCUCCGGCGGAGGCGGCAUUGGUGUCUCUGACGCCGGCACGGGAGCUUAAUGCACCCGGGUGUACGCCGGCCGGCACCUCUUCAGCAACCGGCCGCUCCAUGAACUGCACGCCCGCCGUUGGCGGUGCCUCGACAUUAGCCGAGCUCGACGCCAUCAUCACGGGCGCCGCCGACGUUCCGUGCACUCUCCUCCACUUCGUGAACAACGAGUUGGUCGAUGUCGCCAAGGGCAAAAUCAUUCAACCGGGCAACCCCUUGUUCCACGGUACCCAGAUGCCACCCAACUUGUUUAGGGUUCAACUGGUUCGGGUGCUGCCAAGCUGCGACGACUUGUUACCUCCGAUUCGACCCGUCGGGGCCGACGAUGAUGACGUGAUGACCCUCAGCGCCUGCCUGAGCUGGCCCCUGCUUUGGCCCAAGAGCCAGAUUCGUUUGGGGGCGGGGGACACCACCCCAAAGACAACACCGCCAGUCAUGCUGGCGCCAAGUCGGCCCCAUGGCAAGACCGCCGUAAUGGUGCCGGACAUCCCUAUGCCACUGGAUCCAAACAUGCAUAUGGCACAGGAUCAGAACGACGACGACGACGAUGAUGAUACUUUUGGCAACGUCGAUCAGUACUUUGCCGAGCAUGGGUACGAUGGUGACUUCAUGGGGCCUCCUUCUCAAGAACCAAACCCAACAAAAGACGUGUGCGAUCUAGCUCGUACCGCGGAGAAGCCAAGUUGCAACAGGCGCCGUCUGGCGUUCAGCUCUCAGGAGACGCCUCCAGCUGCCGACUUCACCGAGCCUCAGAUAGGUGAGGUGCGAAAUAUUAUCAGCCCCAACACACUCAAGAAGGCGGUCUGUGAGCAGAACUCGGUCCCAUUACAGGAGAAGAAGAAGGCACGCAAAAGAAAGACUAAGAAGGGUGCGAGCCAGCCGGCACCGAGUACGAUCCGUGCUCAGGACGGGCCACCUUCACCGCAGGAUAUCUCGAGGAGGGUGCAUGUGGCGGGUAGGGCGAUGCUACCACCAAAUAUGCUCAAUGCUGCAACUGGUGCUAUGCGGAGUCUGCACGACAGUGUUCUUUCUUUGGAGAAGCGGCGUCUCAGAGAGAAGGAUGUGGCAUACCCGGUUUUCGUGGCCAAGGUGCCAGAGGGCAAGGGCUUUGUGGAUGGCGACAUCGGGGGUACGAUCGUCCUGCGGUUUGAUGACAUCUUUGCUAUGUUUAACCUUCAUCCGCUGCACUACACCUUCGUUCGGCUAUUUUCGCCGAGUAUGGAGAUGCGGAUCAUUCGCGACAAGACCCCGGACAUCGUGAUAGUCGACCCCUUCUACAUGCGUGCCAAGAUCUUGGGCAGCGCUGGGGACCGGCAAGUCGCGAGUUCUUACCUCGAAGGCGUCAUUCUGGCAAACCAAGAUAAGGAUAACUUCCUCGUGCCUUACUUUCCCGAUGACACACGUUGCACGCUCAUCCUCCUAAGCCCCAAAUAUUCCAUGGCCACGUAUUUCGACCCGGACCGUCAGUCGAACGUAGACUACACAAAUGUCAAGAAGGUUCUUGAUGAUGUUCUCCCCGGCUACGCCCAAUCUGGAGGCACCUUCACCAGGCCUAUUCGUAAGUACGGCAAGCACGUGUUCUCCCACAAUACGACGUUCUGCUGCGUCAAGCAGCCGCCUGGCGGUCAGAAGGGUGCCUACUACGCCAUCCAUCACAUGCGGGCGAUCGUACGGGACCAUCAUCAAGUUCUGCUACCGAGUAAACUCCAAGAUUGGGCCGCGAGCGUGUCGGCAAUCCAGGACGCGGACCUCCGACAAGAAUUCUUUCGCAUCCAGUCGGAGUUUGCGGAAAUCAUCCAUCAAGAUGUCCUUCGUACCUCGGGGCAGUUCUACCUCAGAAAUCAACCGUCCAACAGUGACAUCGACACAAUGCUACAAAUGCAGGAUGACAACGCCCGUUCUUUCAUGACUCCCACGAUAGACGGCGGCUUCAUCCACGCUCCGGUCCCUUGA
rnacentral:rRNA from 1 species